rnacentral:rRNA from 1 species
AACGAACGCUGGCGGCAUGCCUAACACAUGCAAGUCGAACGAGACCUUCGGGUCUAGUGGCGCUCGGGUGCGUAACGCGUGGGAACCUGCCCUUAGGUUCGGAAUAACUCCCCGAAAGGGGUGCUAAUACCGGAUAAUGUCUUCGGACCAAAGAUUUAUCGCCUUUGGAUGGGCCCGCGUUGGAUUAGCUAGUUGGUAGGGUAAAAGCCUACCAAGGCGACGAUCCAUAGCUGGUCUGAGAGGAUGAUCAGCCACACUGGGACUGAGACACGGCCCAGACUCCUACGGGAGGCAGCAGUGGGGAAUAUUGGACAAUGGGCGAAAGCCUGAUCCAGCAAUGCCGCGUGAGUGAUGAAGGCCUUAGGGUUGUAAAGCUCUUUUACCCGGGAUGAUAAUGACAGUACCGGAAGAAUAAGCACCGGCUAACUACGUG